ACCGUGGCCUUAGCCUGUGACCUACAAUAGUCUCUUGGUCUGAGUGUAAAUAACCAUCAAUUCAGUGAAGUCUCCUUCUCUUGGGGGCAUUUCUAACUCUUCUACCUGGUGCCCUCCUAGCUGUUCCACCUCCUUUUCUGAGAUCUCUAAUUUCUCCAGUCUUCAGCCCACAGUUCUGGGGAUCCUCAGCUCUGGAAACUAGAUACACUUCUAUAAAUAAAUGGGAAAAUGAGGUUUACAUCCUAAGACUUUGCUUAACCUCCAACUUUGGGGGAAGGAAUUGGUUUAACACACACAGGGUGAGGGUGAAAAAUACUGCAUCACCUUCCUCAGUUUAAAUUUAGACUAAACUCUCUGUUUACUUCAAAUCCACCAUCAACGUGCUGUGUUCAUGAGUGCAGCCUGGAAGAGGCACAAAGUCAUGCCUAAAGGUCACAGUUCAUGAUAUUAAUUACGAGUGAACAAUGACCAGGCCAUUGCUAAAUUUAAAGGAAACAUGCUACAGUGUAAUUGAGAAACUCUCAUGAUCGGACCUAGUAGGUGGAAGACAAUAGAUUAAGAAAAUAACAAUUCAAAAAAUAUUUGAUAUUUCAAAUUCUGAAAAAAAUACAACAUGAAGUAAAAUGAUAAGAACUUUGUCAAAUCUGGAAGUUUUUGGAAACAAAGGAAGGUGCAAAUUCAAAAUUUUGUCUUAGAUAAAUGUCUUUGCCUGAAAUAAGUGUCUCUUCCUGAGAAGAUAUUUUAGUUUAUAUAAUGUGUUUAACUGUCAAAUAUUAUUCAGGAAUAAAAUAGAUUGUAAAUUGCCUGAGGCCAUCUCUUUUCACUGUCUUCAGGGCAAGAUUUCACAUAGAUUUGGUGCUCAAUAGCUAUAUCUUUUUAAUGGGUAUUGGCUUUAAGAUAUGUAUCUAGGCAUUGAAGUUAAAAAAAUAGAUGGCAUUUAAAACUUGUAAAAUAACUAUUAUUUCCAUAAGUUUUUUGCAUAUUUGACAUAAUGCACCAUUUGUUUUAAGAUGUAAUUGUAAUAUUUGUACCUUAAUAAAAAGCUUUUUAAGAAGGAGAAAUGAAAAAAAAUCUCCUCCCAUACCAAGUGACACU